rnacentral:tRNA from 1 species
AGCAGUGUAGCUCAGUGGUAAAGCACUUGCUUAUUCUAUAUGAGGCCCUAGGUUUGAUCCCUAGUACUGCAA